rnacentral:rRNA from 1 species
GACGAACGCUGGCGGCGUGCUCAACACAUGCAAGUCGAACGAUGAAGCCGCUUCGGUGGUGGAUUAGUGGCGAACGGGUGAGUAACACGUGGGCAAUCUGCCCUGCACUCUGGGACAGGCCCUGGAAACGGGGUCUAAUACCGGAUACGACCAUCGGCCGCAUGGCCUGGUGGGGGAAAGCUAUGGUGGUGCAGGAUGAGCCCGCGGCCUAUCAGCUUGUUGGUGGGGUGAUGGCCUACCAAGGCGACGACGGGUAGCCGGCCUGAGAGGGCGACCGGCCACACUGGGACUGAGACACGGCCCAGACUCCUACGGGAGGCAGCAGUGGGGAAUAUUGCACAAUGGGCGCAAGCCUGAUGCAGCGACGCCGCGUGAGGGAUGACGGCCUUCGGGUUGUAAACCUCUUUCAGCAGGGAAGAAGCUUUCGGGUGACGGUACCUGCAGAAGAAGCACCGGCUAACUACGUGCCAGCCGCCGCGGUAA